rnacentral:rRNA from 1 species
GGCGCAGGCGGCUGGCUAAGUCCUGUGUGAAAUCCCACGGCUCAACCGUGGAAAGCCACAGGAUACUGGCGAGCUAGAGACGGGUAGAGGCGAGUGGAAUUCCCGGUGUAGCGGUGGAAUGCGUAGAUAUCGGGAAGAACACCAGUGGCGAAGGCGACUCGCUGGGCCCGUUCUGACGCUCAGGCCCGAAAGCGUGGGGAGCAAGCA